UAGGGAAUCUUCGGCAAUGGACGGAAGUCUGACCGAGCAACGCCGCGUGAGUGAAGAAGGUUUUCGGAUCGUAAAGCUCUGUUGUUAGAGAAGAACGUUGGCAGGAGUGGAAAAUCUACCAAGUGACGGUAACUAACCAGAAAGGGACGGCUAACUACGUGCCAGCAGCCGCGGUAAUACGUAGGUCCCGAGCUUUGUCCGGAUUUAUUGGGCGUAAAGCGGGCGCAGGCGGUUCUUUAAGUCUGAAGUUAAAGGCAGUGGCUUAACCAUUGUACGCUUUAGAAACUGGAGGACUUGAGUGCAGAAGGGGAGAGAGGAAUUCCAUGUGUAACGGUGACAUGCGUAGAUAUAUGGAGGAACACCGGUGGCGAAAGCGGCUCUCUGGUCUGUAACUGACGCUGAGGCUCGAAAGCGUGGGGAGCAAACAGG
rnacentral:rRNA from 1 species